AAGCGCUUCAGGUGACUCCGGGUGUUGAGAGAGUGGUUGAUGGGGCUCCGCUUGCACUCGUUCCGGGCUUUCUCUCCUCACCGCUUCAGAAGCGCACGCAUGGGCUUUGGGUCUGGUGAUGGUUGGACUGUAUAACAGAACACGGCAUGCUGAUAAGGUAUAAAAAUUUGAGGCACGGCUGAAUCAUACUGUAAUACAAAAAUGUCCAAGGAGAUAUUUUCUUAGAUUUUGUCCACAUUUGCAAACCUGUACUGUUCUCAGUGCUAACCCAGGUAACAUCACUGUAAUUACAAGGAUGGUUGCAAAUUUCUAUCCUAACACAUACAAUUCUUUUGGUACUGGUUUCUUUAUUGUUUGCUUUUGUGAAAGCCCUUAAGCUGUGCCUUUAGCCUUUUGUACUCUGUGGUGGAUAAGGGAAAUAAUCGUGUGUUAGUCGUCUGCUUCAGCUCUAGCUUGUGGUGUGCUGGCGGAUGGCAUUGUUGCUUACCAAGCCUUAGGAAGUGUUUCCUGUGAGUGCGGUUGAAUCUAGUGUAGCUACCCUCGGGUGAGUAUGUGCAGUUUCUUUAUGAACAUGGAAGGGCAUCUAAUGAUAGCGGGUGAAUAACCCGCUAUUGGUUACUUGAGUCGCCUAUGAGUUGCUACGGUUCCCUCUUUGGCAAUGUUGGGAGCGAUACUCACUUGUAGCCAAAUUUGGUUGUUCGUUGUUUGGUUGUUUGGUUGUACCACUGCAAAUCCAACCCAGCAUGUUAAAUUUGUGUCUCCUUUGUUGAGGCACACACUCAUAAAAACUCUCCUUGUUGACUUCCCCACCUUGAUUAGUCUGUACAUGUUCUGUAUUUUUGUUCAUAUAGAUCACAUUAUUAAAACCUGUUUUUGAUGUUGUUUGAA